UGGAGGAAGGUGGGGAUGACGUCAAGUCAUCAUGGCCCUUAUGUCCAGGGCGACACACGUGCUACAAUGGCCGGCACAACGGGAAGCGAGUUCGCGAGGACGAGCGGAUCCCUCAAAGCCGGUCGCAGUUCGGAUUGAAGUCUGCAACUCGACUUCAUGAAGCUGGAAUCGCUAGUAAUCGUGGAUCAGCCAAGCCGCGGUGAAUAACGUUACCGGGCCUU
rnacentral:rRNA from 1 species